GACGUAGGGCGCGAGCGUUGUCCGGAUUUAUUGGGCGUAAAGCGUGCGCAGGCGGUUCCGCAAGUCAGAUGUGAAAUCCCCGGGCUCAACCUGGGAACUGCAUUUGAAACUACGGGGCUAGAGUGUGUCAGAGGGGGGUGGAAUUCCACGUGUAGCAGUGAAAUGCGUAGAGAUGUGGAGGAACACCAAUGGCGAAGGCAGCCCCCUGGGAUGACACUGACGCUCAUGCACGAAAGCGUGGGGAGCAAACAGG
rnacentral:rRNA from 1 species